rnacentral:rRNA from 1 species
GUGGGGGAUAUUGCACAAUGGGGGAAACCCUGAUGCAGCGACGCCGCGUGAGUGAAGAAGUAUUUCGGUAUGUAAAGCUCUAUCAGCAGGGAAGAAAAUGACGGUACCUGACUAAGAAGCCCCGGCUAACUACGUGCCAGCAGCCGCGGUAAUACGUAGGGGGCAAGCGUUAUCCGGAUUUACUGGGUGUAAAGGGAGCGUAGACGGCAAGACAAGCCAGAUGUGAAAGGCAGGGGCUCAACCCCUGGACUGCAUUUGGAACUGCCUGGCUAGAGUGUCGGAGAGGUAAGUGGAAUUCCUAGUGUAGCGGUGAAAUGCGUAGAUAUUAGGAGGAACACCAGUGGCGAAGGCGGCUUACUGGACGACAACUGACGUUGAGGCUCGAAAGCGUGGGGAGCAAACAGGAUUAGAAACCCCUGUAGUCC